rfam:Marinobacterium stanieri strain DSM 7027 genome assembly, contig: Ga0111666_104
AACCACCUGAUCCCAUACCGAACUCAGCAGUGAAACGCGUCAUCGCCGAUGGUAGUGUGGGGCUUCCCCAUGUGAGAGUAGGUCAUCGCCAAGC